rnacentral:rRNA from 1 species
GACGAACGCUGGCGGCGUGCCUAAUACAUGCAAGUCGAGCGAGCGGCGGACGGGUGAGUAACACGUAUGGAACCUCCCGAUAAACGGGGGACAACAUCCGGAAACGGGUGCUAAUACCGCAUAGUUAUCGAUGUCCUUGCGUUGCAUUAGCUCGUUGGUGGGGUAACGGCCUACCAAGUCAAUGAUGCAUAGCCGACCUGAGAGGGUAACCGGCCACAUGGGGACUGAGACACGGCCCAAACUCCUACGGGAGGCAGCAGUAGGGAAUCUUCCGCAAUGGGCGCAAGCCUGACGGAGCAACGCCGCGUGAGUGAAGAAGGGUUUCGGAUCGUAAAGCUCUGUUGUUAGAGAAGCGGUACCUAACCAGAAAGCCACGGCUAACUACGUGCCAGCAGCCGCGGUAAUAC